GGAGAGAUGGCGGAACGGUAGACGCGGCAGUUAUGUACAAUACAUCAUGUUUGUGAUGCUGACAGCAAAUCUUACAGCUUGGGGCCUGCUUCAUUGUUGGUUCAAAUCCAACUCUCUCCA
rnacentral:tRNA from 1 species